CAGCAGCCGCGGUAAUACGGAGGGUGCAGGCGUUAAUCGGAAUUACUGGGCGUAAAGCACACGCAGGCGGUUUGUUAAGUCAGAUGUGAAAUCCCCGAGCUUAACUUGGGAACUGCAUUUGAAACUGGCAAGCUAGAGUCUUGUAGAGGGGGGUAGAAUUCCAGGUGUAGCGGUGAAAUGCGUAGAGAUCUGGAGGAAUACCGGUGGCGAAGGCGGCCCCCUGGACAAAGACUGACGCUCAGGUGCGAAAGCGUGGGGAGCAAACAGGAUUAGAUACCCCGGUAGUCCCUGUCUCUUAUAC
rnacentral:rRNA from 1 species